GUCUACGCGGAAAAUUGAUACAACACAAUUUGACGAGAGAGCCCUCCGUGGUCGAGGGAGGUGAAGUUCGGCCGUUUGGGAGUGAUACGAUUAAUCUCUUUGGCGGCAAGAUUUGGGGAGAGAGAGGGCGAUGGCGAUGAAGCCACUUGUAAACGCAUUCUCAGUGUUGGAGCUCGAUGCUGAAGACGAUCAAAUUCCCGCUCUUUCUACUUCCUCCAAAGAUGACGCUACUGCUUCUUCCCCUUCAAGAACAGGAAAAAGCAAGAAGGAAGUUAAUAUCUCUGGUGAUAUUCUGACAGGAGAAAAACAGAAACAAGGUCAACCAGAUGUAGCUGCAGAAAACUACAAAUUUCCUCUUGUUUGGAUUGACCUGGAAAUGACUGGUUUACAUGUUGAAACAGAUAGAAUACUGGAGAUAGCUUGUAUAAUUACCAAUGGCAGUCUGACCAAAUUGGUGGAGGGUCCCGAUUUAGUGAUUCACCAAUCAAAAGAAUGUCUAGAGAAAAUGGGAGAAUGGUGUCAAAGUCAUCAUGCAGCCAGUGGAUUGACAAAAAAGGUGCUGCAAAGUACAAUUAGUGAAAGAGAAGCUGAAAAACAGGUUAUAGAAUUUGUGAAGAAACAUGUUGGUAGCUAUAAACUACACUUGGCUGGAAAUUCAGUUUAUAUGGAUUUUAUUUUUUUGAAGAAAUACAUGCCAGAUUUGGCUGGACUUUUUUCACAUGUGCUUGUUGACGUCAGUAGUGUUAAGGCUCUAUGCUUUCGCUGGUAUCCAAGAGAUCAGAAGAAAGCACCACCGAAAGAGAAUAAACAUAGGGCUAUGGAUGAUAUCAGAGAAAGCAUUAUGGAACUCAAAUAUUACAAGGACAAUAUAUUUAAGAAUUCUAAAAAGUGAUGCAAGAGGUAGCACCAUAACCACAAGAUUGUACGUCUGAACGGUACGGAGAUUUUAAUUUAAAUUUCAAGUCUAUCAUUCAACUCCUAAUUCAAUUGUGUAUAAUGUAGUAUCUUCUGUUAUCAGGAUAUUAUGCUGUUAAGUGGUGCUUGUAUAGAUUUGUACAUCUUACUCCUUUGUAAAUUAAACUCUUUAAGUUGCUGGAUAACAUUGCUCGGAGCCUAUAUAGUAUGAGAGGAUUUUAGGCAUAUGAAAUCUCAAAUGAAUUUGUGUCGAGUAACUGCUUUCAAAUUGAAAGAUGCAUGGGGAUCAAAGUAUUUGUAGAUCAUAUAUUAUCAUUUAUUUUCUUUACGAUCUGUUGGGUAUACAUUUUACUGUGGAAAAAAAAAAAAGAAGUGAAUUUGCUAGCGUUUAGUUGAAAUAGUAAUUUAAUGUGGUAAA